AGCAGCCGCGGUAAUUCCAGCUCCAAUAGCGUAUAUUAAAGUUGUUGCAGUUAAAAGCUCGUAGUUGAAUUUCGGGGUCAGCAGGUCGGUCGUGCCACUGGUAUGUACUGGUCUCACUGAUUCCUCCUUCCUGAUGAACCGUAAUGCCAUUAAUUUGGUGUUGCGGGGAAACUGGACUGUUACUUUGAAAAAUUGAGUGUUUAAAGCAGGCUAACGCUUGAAUACAUUAGCAUGGAAUAAUGAAAUAGGACGUUCGAUCCUAUUUUGUUGGUUUCUGGGAUUGACGUAAUGAUUAAUAGGGAUAGUUGGGGGCAUUAGUAUUCAAUUGUCAGAGGUGAAAUUCUUGGAUUUAUUGAAGUACUAACUACUGACGAAA
rnacentral:rRNA from 1 species